CCUACGGGAGGCAGCAGUGGGGAAUCUUCCGCAAUGGGCGAAAGCCUGACGGAGCAACGCCGCGUGAUCGAAUGAAGGCCUUCGGGUUGUAAAGAUCUGUUGACAGGGACGAAUAAGCAAUGCGAAUAGUUUUGUGUAUGACGGUACCUGUUUAGAAAGCUCCGGCUAACUACGUGCCAGCAGCCGCGGUAAUACGUAGGGAGCAAGCGUUGUCCGGAAUUACUGGGCGUAAAGGGCGCGUAGGCGGAAGAGCAAGUCAGCGGUAAAAUUGGGAGGCUCAACCUCUGCGAGCCGUUGAAACUGGUUUUCUUGAGUGAGUGAGAAGUAUGCGGAAUGCGUGGUGUAGCGGUGAAAUGCAUAGAUAUCACGCAGAACUCCGAUUGCGAAGGCAGCAUACCGGCGCUCAACUGACGCUCAUGUACGAAAGUGUGGGUAUCGAACAGGAUUAGAUACCCUGGUAGUC
rnacentral:rRNA from 1 species